UACGUAGGGUGCAAGCGUUGUCCGGAAUUAUUGGGCGUAAAGAGCUCGUAGGCGGUCUGUCGCGUCGGCUGUGAAAUCUCGGGGCUCAACCCCGAGCCUGCAGUCGAUACGGGCAGACUAGAGUGCUGUAGGGGAGACUGGAAUUCCUGGUGUAGCGGUGAAAUGCGCAGAUAUCAGGAGGAACACCGGUGGCGAAGGCGGGUCUCUGGGCCGAUACUGACGCUGGAGGCGCGAAAAGCGUGGGGAGCAAACAGG
rnacentral:rRNA from 1 species